UGGGUAACCUGCCUCAAAGAGGGGAAUAGCCUCCCGAAAGGGAGAUUAAUACCGCAUAAUAUGUUUAAGUCGCAUGACUUUAACAUCAAAGGAUUUUCUUUUAGAAAUUCCACUUCGAGAUGGACCCGCGGCGCAUUAGCUAGUUGGUGAGGUAACGGCUCACCAAGGCAACGAUGCGUAGCCGACCCGAGAGGGUGAUCGGCCACAUUGGAACUGAGACACGGUCCGGACUCCUACGGGAGGNAG
rnacentral:rRNA from 1 species